GAUGAACGCUGGCGGUAUGCUUAACACAUGCAAGUCGAACGGAGUAGCAAUACUUAGUGGCGGACGGGUGAGUAACGCGUAAGAAUCUAGCUUCAGGUUCGGGACAACAGUUGGAAACGACUGCUAAUACCGGAUGUGCCUAAGGGUGAAAGGCUUGCUGCCUGAAGAAGAGCUUGCGUCCGAUUAGCUAGUUGGUGAGGUAAAGGCUUACCAAGGCAUCGAUCGGUAGCUGGUCUGAGAGGAUGACCAGCCACACUGGGACUGAGACAAGGCCCAGACUCCUACGGGAGGCAGCAGUGGGGAAUUUUCCGCAAUGGGCGAAAGCCUGACGGAGCAAUACCGCGUGAGGGAAGAAGGCUCUUGGGUUGUAAACCUCUUUUCUCAGGGAAUAAAAAAAUGAAGGUACCUGAGGAAUAAGCAUCGGCUAACUCCGUGCCAGCAGCCGCGGUAAUACGGAGGAUGCAAGCGUUAUCCGGAAUGAUUGGGCGUAAAGCGUCCGCAGGUGGUACAACAAGUCUAGUGUCAAAGACCGGGGCUCAACUCCGGGAAGGCGGUGGAAACUGUUGAACUAGAGGGUCGUAGGGGUAGAGGGAAUUCCCAGUGUAGCGGUGAAAUGCGUAGAGAUUGGGAAGAACAUCGGUGGCGAAGGCGCUCUACUGGACGGCAACUGACACUCAGGGACGAAAGCUAGGGGAGCGAAUGGGAUUAGAUACCCCAGUAGUCCUAGCCGUAAACGAUGGAUACUAGGUGUGGCUUGUAACAAAACGAGCCGUGCCGUAGCUAACGCGUUAAGUAUCCCGCCUGGGGAGUACGCUCGCAAGAGUGAAACUCAAAGGGAUUGACGGGGGCCCGCACAAGCGGUGGAGUAUGUGGUUUAAUUCGAUGCAACGCGAAGAACCUUACCAGGACUUGACAUGUUGCGAAUCACCUUGAAAGAGGAGAGUGCCUUCGGGAGCGCAAACACAGGUGGUGCAUGGCUGUCGUCAGCUCGUGUCGUGAGAUGUUGGGUUAAGUCCCGCAACGAGCGCAACCCUCAUGUUUAGUUGCCAAUAUUAAGUUAGGCACUCUAGACAGACUGCCGGUGACAAACCGGAGGAAGGUGGGGAUGACGUCAAGUCAGCAUGCCCCUUACGUCCUGGGCUACACACGUACUACAAUGGUAAGGACAAAGGGAAGCGAAACUGCGAAGUGAAGCAAAUCCCAUCAAACUUUGCCACAGUUCAGAUCGUAGGCUGCAACUCGCCUACGUGAAGGAGGAAUCGCUAGUAAUCGCAGGUCAGCAUACUGCGGUGAAUCCGUUCCCGGGCCUUGUACACACCGCCCGUCACACCAUGGAAGCUGGUCAUGCCCGAAGUCGUUACCCUAACCAUUCGUGGAGGGGGAUGCCUAAGGCGGGGCUGGUGACUGGGGUGAA
rnacentral:rRNA from 1 species